rnacentral:rRNA from 1 species
CAGUCGCCACGGGAAUACGUAGGUGGCAAGCGUUGUCCGGAAUUAUUGGGCGUAAAGGGCUUGCAGGCGGUUUCUUAAGUCUGAUGUGAAAGCCCCCGGCUCAACCGGGGAGGGUCAUUGGAAACUGGGAAACUUGAGUGCAGAAGAGGAGAGUGGAAUUCCACGUGUAGCGGUGAAAUGCGUAGAGAUGUGGAGGAACACCAGUGGCGAAGGCGACUCUCUGGUCUGUAACUGACGCUGAGGAGCGAAAGCGUGGGGAGCGAACAGGAUUAGAUACCCCUGUAGUCCCUGUCUCUUAUAC